CCUACGGGUGGCAGCAGUGGGGAAUAUUGGGCAAUGGAGGAAACUCUGACCCAGCAACGCCGCGUGAAUGAUGAAGGUCUUCGGAUUGUAAAGUUCUUUUCUAAGGGAAGAAGAAAGUGACGGUACCUUAGGAAUAAGCCUCGGCUAACUACGUGCCAGCAGCCGCGGUAAUACGUAGGAUGCGAGCGUUAUCCGGAUUUAUUGGGUUUAAAGGGUGCGCAGGCGGCGAGUUAAGUCAGCGGUAAAAUUUCGGGGCUCAACCCCGACAAGCCGUUGAAACUGGCUUGCUAGAGUGGGCGAGAAGUAUGCGGAAUGCGUGGUGUAGCGGUGAAAUGCAUAGAUAUCACGCAGAACUCCGAUUGCGAAGGCAGCAUACCGGCGCCCAACUGACGCUCAGGCACGAAAGCGUGGGUAUCGAACAGGAUUAGAUACCCUAGUAGUC
rnacentral:rRNA from 1 species